rnacentral:rRNA from 1 species
GACGAACGCUGGCGGCGUGCUUAACACAUGCAAGUCGAACGAUGAAGCUAGAGCUUGCUCUGGUGAAUUAGUGGCGAACGGGUGAGUAACACGUGAGUAACCUGCCCCGAACUCUGGGAUAACUGCUGGAAACGGUAGCUAAUACGGGAUACGACCUACGAAGGCAUCUUCUGUAGGUGGUAAGAAUUUCGGUUCGGGAUGGACUCGCGGCCUAUGAGCUUGUUGGUGAGGUAAUGGCUCACCAAGGCGACGACGGGUAGCCGGCCGGAGAGGGUGACCGGCCACACUGGGACUGAGACACGGCCCAGACUCCUACGGGAGGCAGCAGUGGGGAAUAUUGCACAAUGGGCGCAAGCCUGAUGCAGCAACGCCGCGUGAGGGAUGACGGCCUUCGGGUUGUAAACCUCUUUUAGUAGGGAAGAAGCGAAAGUGACGGUACCUGCAGAAAAAGCACCGGCUAACUACGUGCCAGCCGCCGCCGUAA